rnacentral:rRNA from 1 species
UGCGGGGGGGGCAAGCGUUGGUCGGAAUUACUGGGCGUAAAGCGUGCGCAGACGGUUGCGUAAGUCAGAUGUGAAAGCCCCGGGCUCAACCUGGGAAUUGCAUUUGAGACUGCGUAGCUAGGGUGCGGAAGAGGGAAGCGGAAUUUCCGGUGUAGCGGUGAAAUGCGUAGAUAUCGGAAGGAACACCAGUGGCGAAAGCGGCUUCCUGGUCCAGCACCGACGUUCAGGCACGAAAGCGUGGGGAGCAAACAGG